rnacentral:lncRNA from 1 species
UUGUAACUGAGAAAGAACAACAUCCUGAUAAUUAUAGCUGACCUCCUGUGCAUAACAAUCUGUACUGGAUUUUAAUUUAGUUGGGAAGAGCAAUGAAAACUUAUGUUCCUGCAUUAUUCAUUUUUCUAUGGCUGCAGCUGGAUGGGAUGAGCCAAGGUGAGCAAGUGAAGCAGUUUCCUUCCAUCCUGAGAGUCCAGGGGGGAUCCAAUGCCAUCCUCAACUGCACUUAUGUAGACAGUGCCUCCCUCUACUUCCCUUGGUAUAAGCAAGAGCCUGGAAUGCAUCCUCAGCUCCUCAUUGACAUUCGUUCAAAUAUGGAAAGAAAGCAGACCCAACGACUCAUCUUAUUACUGAAUGAGAAAGCCAAACACUUCUCCCUGCACAUCACAGACACCCAGCCUGGAGACUCAGCC